GGCUGCAGCGCUACUUUUGGUCCGGGGUCGGCAGGGAGGCCGCGGCUACCGCAUCACAGCUGACGUGAGGACUACGUGGGGCCGCUGCCGGCUCCGGGUUGCUGGGCGGCGGCGCCGCUGCUGAGCGGCGGUCGGGCUCGCCGUCUCCACCUCCUCGCGUCCGUAAUCAGUGACGAGGUCCGCUACGUAAAUCCCUUUGCGGCGGGAUAAAUAAAGAAAACAGGAAAGGAGGAAAGCAUUGAUUACAGAUGUCUUAACAAUGAGCAAAUGUGCAAGGAAAAAAUAUAUUAAGACAAAUCCAAGACAAAUGACCAUGGAAACAGUUGAAUCCCAGCAUGAUGGAAGUAUAACAGCUUCUUUGACAGAGAGCAAGUCUGCUCAUGUGCAGACUCAGACUGGCCAAAAUUCAAUCCCUGCUUUAGCUCAGCUGCCACUGGUGACAUGCCAACUUACCAGAUCCGAGCUCCUACUGCUGCUUUGCCACA
rnacentral:sRNA from 1 species